GACGAACGCUGGCGGCGUGCUUAACACAUGCAAGUCGAACGGAAAGGCCCUGCUUUUGUGGGGUGCUCGAGUGGCGAACGGGUGAGUAACACGUGAGUAACCUGCCCUUGACUUUGGGAUAUCUUCAGGAAACUGGGGGUAAUACCGGCUAGGAGCUCCUGCUGCAUGGUGGGGGUUGGAAAGUUUCGGCGGUUGGGGAUGGACUCGCGGCUUAUCAGCUUGUUGGUGGGGUAGUGGCUUACCAAGGCUUUGACGGGUAGCCGGCCUGGGAGGGUGACCGGCCACAUUGGGACUGAGAUACGGCCCAGACUCCUACGGGAGGCAGCAGUGGGGAAUAUUGCACAAUGGGCGGAAGCCUGAUGCAGCAACGCCGCGUGCGGGAUGACGGCCUUCGGGUUGUAAACCGCUUUCGCCUGUGACGAAGCGUGAGUGACGGUAAUGGGUAAAGAAGCACCGGCUAACUACGUG
rnacentral:rRNA from 1 species